GCCCUCGUGGUGGAAUUGGCAGACACCCUGGCUUCAGGAGCCAGGGACCGCAAGGUCGUGCAGGUUCAACUCCUGUCGAGGGCA
rnacentral:tRNA from 1 species